UCUCGAUAGGUGAAGAACUCUGGAAUGAGUCUUUGCUAAAAAGACGCUUGCGUUAUGCUCGUAGGCGUCGCCCAAGGAUGAGGCCGCGACCGAUCAGGUUGUUGGUGAGGUAAUGGCUCACCAAGCCUUUUACCGGUGCGGGCCGUGAGAGCGGGAGCCCGGAGAUGGGCACUGAGACAAGGGCCCAGGCCCUACGGGGCGCAGCAGUCGCGAAAACUUUGCAAUACACGAAAGUGUGACAGGGCUAUCCCGAGUGCCAUCCGCUGAGGAAGGCCUUUACCCAGUCUAGAACGCUGGGGGAAUAAGGAGAGGGCAAGUCUGGUGUCAGCCGCCGCGGUAAUACCAGCUCUCCGAGUGGUGUGGAUGUUUAUUGGGCCUAAAGCAUCCGUAGCUGGCUAAGUUAGUCCCUUGUUAAAUCCACCGAAUUAAUCGUUGGAUUGCGGGGGAUACUGCUUGGCUAGGGGACGAGAGAGGCAGACGGUAUUUCCAGGGUAGGGGUGAAAUCCUAUAAUCCCGGGAAGACCACCAGUGGCGAAGGCUGUCUGCUAGAACGCGCCCGACGGUGAGGGAUGAAAGCUGGGGGAGCGAACCGGAUUAGAUACCCGGGUAGUCCCAGCUGUAAACGAUGCAGGCUAGGUGUUUGGACGGCCACGUGCCGUUCUAGUGCCGCAGGGAAGCUGUUAAGCCUGCCGCCUGGGGAGUACGAUCGCAAGGUUGAAACUUAAAGGAAUUG
rnacentral:rRNA from 1 species